UUGAGGGGUUCAGCAUGCAGAUUCAUUCUCUGCCACCGAAUACAUUAGCAUGGGAUAAUGGAAUAGGACCCUGUCCUCCUAUUUUCAGUUGGUUUUGGCACGCGAGGACCAGGGUAAUGAUUAAUAGGGAUAGUUGGGGGCAUUAAUAUUUAAUUGUCAGAGGUGAAAUUCUUGGAUUUAUGAAAGAUUAACUUCUGCGAAAGCAUCUGCCAAGGAUGUUUUCAUUAAUCAAGAACGAAAGUUAGGGGAUCGAAGACGAUCAGAUACCGUCGUAGUCUUAACCAUAAACGAUGCCGACCAGCGAUUAGGAGACGUUGAAUACAAAACACCACCAUCGGCGCGGUCGUCCCUGGCAGUUUCGCUCGCGCGAGCGGGCGGGGUUGCGGGGGCGGCUUAGCCCGAUGGCACCGGUGAAUGACUCCCCUAGACCUUUUGUGAGAA
rnacentral:rRNA from 1 species